rnacentral:rRNA from 1 species
UUAACUGAAUCCAUAGGUUAAUGAGGCGAACCGGGGGAACUGAAACAUCUAAGUACCCCGAGGAAAAGAAAUCAACCGAGAUUCCCCCAGUAGCGGCGAGCGAACGGGGAGGAGCCCAGAGCCUGAAUCAGUGUGUGUGUUAGUGGAAGCGUCUGGAAAGGCGCGCGAUACAGGGUGACAGCCCCGUACACAAAAAUGCACAUACUGUGAGCUCGAUGAGUAG